rnacentral:rRNA from 1 species
AUUGAACGCUGGCGGCAGGCUUAACACAUGCAAGUCGAGCGGGGUGAGGUGCUUCGGUACUGAUCCUAGCGGCGGACGGGUGAGUAAUGCUUAGGAAUCUGCCAUUUAGUGGGGGACAACAUUCCGAAAGGAAUGCUAAUACCGCAUACGUCCUACGGGAGAAAGCAGGGGAUCUUCGGACCUUGCGCUAAAUGAUGAGCCUAAGUCGGAUUAGCUAGUUGGUGGGGUAAAGGCCUACCAAGGCGACGAUCUGUAGCGGGUCUGAGAGGAUGAUCCGCCACACUGGGACUGAGAAACGGCCCAGACUCCUACGGGAGGCAGCAGUGGGGAAUAUUGGACAAUGGGCGGAAGCCUGAUCCAGCCAUGCCGCGUGUGUGAAGAAGGCCUUUUGGUUGUAAAGCACUUUAAGCGAGGAGGAGGCUACCUGGAUUAAUACUCUAGGAUAGUGGACGUUACUCGCAGAAUAAGCACCGGCUAACUCUGUGCCAGCCGCCGCAGUAAAAC